rnacentral:rRNA from 1 species
GACGAACGCUGGCGGCGUGCUUAACACAUGCAAGUCGAACGGAAAGGCCUUUUCGGAGGUACUCGAGUGGCGAACGGGUGAGUAACACGUGGGUGAUCUGCCCUGCACUCUGGGAUAAGCCUGGGAAACUGGGUCUAAUACCGGAUAGGACCGCACUUUAGUGUGUGUGGUGGAAAGUUUUUUCGGUGUAGGAUGAGCCCGCGGCCUAUCAGCUUGUUGGUGGGGUAAUGGCCUGCCAAGGCGGCGACGGGUAGCCGGACUGAGAGGUUGGUCGGCCACAUUGGGACUGGGAUACGGCCCAGACUCCUACGGGAGGCAGCAGUGGGGAAUAUUGCACAAUGGGCGCAAGCCUGAUGCAGCGACGCCGCGUGGGGGAUGACGGCCUUCGGGUUGUAAACUCCUUUCGCCAGGGACGAAGCGUUUUGUGACGGUACCUGGAGAAGAAGCACCGGCUAACUACGUG